UACAGAGGUCCCGAGCGUUGUUCGGAAUUACUGGGCGUAAAGGGCUUGUAGGUGGCCAACUAAGUCACACGUGAAAUCCCCAGGCUUAACCUGGGAACUGCGUGUGAUACUGGAUGGCUUGAAUCCGGGAGAGGGAUGCGGAAUUCCAGGUGUAGCGGUGAAAUGCGUAGAUAUCUGGAGGAACACCGGUGGCGAAGGCGGCAUCCUGGACCGGUAUUGACACUGAAAAGCGAAAGCCAGGGGAGCAAACGGG
rnacentral:rRNA from 1 species